ACGCGUGUAAAUUUGUUAUAUGUUUUGAGGAUUAAUUAGAUUUAACUGGUGUCUGGUAAAAAUCUCUGGACCUCAUGUUUGGGGGAAAAGAAGAUUUGGCUUGUGGCCUGCAUAUAUGAUAGAAAGAACAUUAUUCUAGUUUCUUUGGUUUGCUGUUCCAAAUUUUUGGGUAACCAUUUAUUUUUUUCAAAAGGACAAUUGAUGAGCUUAGAACACUAGAGGCAACAGUCACGGAUUUGAUAUUGUGCUCCAUAAAUAUCUUUUAUUUUCUUGUUGAUUUCAUAUAUAAAUUUUUUAAAAUUUUCCUCAUGGGUACUGGUUGUUUUGGCCAGGGGUGUAUAAUGCCACAAUAAA
rnacentral:misc_RNA from 1 species